UACAGAGGGGGCUAGCGUUGUUCGGAAUUACUGGGCGUAAAGGGCGCGUAGGUGGCCUGUUAAGUCGAACGUGAAAUCCCCGGGCUCAACCCGGGAACUGCGUCCGAGACUGGCAGGCUCGAAUCCGGGAGAGGGAUGUGGAAUUCCAGGUGUAGCGGUGAAAUGCGUAGAUAUCUGGAGGAACACCGGUGGCGAAGGCGGCAUCCUGGACCGGUAUUGACGCUGAGGAGCGGAAAGCAUGGGGAGCAAACA
rnacentral:rRNA from 1 species